rnacentral:misc_RNA from 1 species
GGAGUAAAAGUCGUAACAAGGUCUCCGUUGGUGAGCCAGCGGAGGGAUCAUUACAGGACUCGCAAGACUCCUUCACCCUGUGAACCUCACUACAAGCACGUUGCUUCGGCGGGUGUCCCGGCGGGGGUUUUCCCUCGCCGGGGCGCACAGCCCGCCGGCAGCCUACUAUACUCUGUCUCUUUGCGUUGGCAUCUCGAGAAAAAACAAACAAGUUAAAACUUUCAACAACGGAUCUCUUGGUUCUG